UACGGAGGGUGCAAGCGUUAUCCGGAUUCACUGGGUUUAAAGGGUGCGUAGGAGGGCAGGUAAGUCAGUGGUGAAAUCUCUGAGCUUAACUCAGAAACUGCCAUGGAUACUAUUUGUCUUGAAUGUUGUGGAGGUAAGCGGAAUAUGUCAUGUAGCGGUGAAAUGCUUAGAUAUGACAUAGAACACCAAUUGCGAAGGCAGCUUACUACACAAAUAUUGACGCUGAGGCACGAAAGCGUGGGGAUCAAACAGG
rnacentral:rRNA from 1 species